UAGGAUUCACCAGUUACUGCACUUUUGCCAGAAAAUAAAAUAGUUUUGAGAGAAAGUUGUUAUCUGUGAACAAAUUACCUGACUGGUGAGGCCUUUCAGGAGUGCCGAAGGUUUUUCGGGUUCCGGUCUGAGUCCCGGAACGCCGGUAGCGCUCCUAGCUCCUACCGCGCGGACACUGGGUGAGCUGAGCGCUAACUGAACUUCAUUGCAUCGUUUACACGACAGCAUUACUGCGUAGGUCGACUCUCUGCUUACAGAUGAGAAGCUGAGACUUCGUUAACUCACUGCAGUGACGAAACUAAAAUGUAUAUGGAGGACCAGCACCAGAUUAGAAAUUGUGUGUUCAGAGAACUGUGAGACUAAACAGAAAGGAAAAUACGUCUUGGAGAAAACGGAGUUCAAUGGUAGGAGUGCUUGCCUUGCCUGUGGGAGGCACCAGGUUCAACCCUCAGUCCCCCCUCCCAAACACGCACAUACCAACAAAAGGGGGAAAAAAAACCCAGAAGUCUUAGAUUUAGGUACUGCUUUGUUCAUAUGUUUCAUAAUGACUUUAUAGUAAUAGAAACUGAUGCCUGAGGUGUUUGAGUUACUAAAUAUUGAGAAUUUAAAAUUAAUGUUGAAAUAUUGAAAUUUUAUGAAUUGCUAAAUUCAAAGUUAAAUAACCGUGUUUAAGUAGCCAUUCUAUUCAAAUACACUUUCAAAAUCUUUAAAGUGAAGUUACAUACUAAAGUAGUUCUAUUAUUAGGAGUAUUAUGUGUUUUCCACUGAUAUAUGAUCUAUACUAAAAAUUAAUUGACAAAUAAAACAACACUUUACUUAGAGUAUCAGAGGUCCUUGAUUCAGGCCAUCUCAAAAUCAGACUUCAA
rnacentral:lncRNA from 1 species